rnacentral:rRNA from 1 species
CCUACGGGGGGCAGCAGUGAGGAAUAUUGGUCAAUGGACGCAAGUCUGAACCAGCCAUGCCGCGUGCAGGAAGACGGCUCUAUGAGUUGUAAACUGCUUUUGUACGAGGGUAAACGCAGAUACGCGUAUCUGUCUGAAAGUAUCGUACGAAUAAGGAUCGGCUAACUCCGUUCCAGCAGCCGCGGCAAUACGGAGGAUUCAAGCGUUAUCCGGAUUUAUUGGGUUUAAAGGGUGCGUAGGCGGUCGGAUAAGUUAGAGGUGAAAUCCCGGGGCUCAACUUCGGAAUUGCCUCUGAUACUGGUCGACUAGAGAGUAGUAGCGGUAGGCUGAAUGUAUGGUGUAGCGGUGAAAUGCUUAGAGAUCAGACAGAACACCAGUUGCGAAGGCAACUUACCAAGCUACUUCUGACGUUGAGGCACGAAAGCGUGGGGAGCAAACAGGAUUAGAUACCCUAGUAGUC